UUUAAUAAAAUAUAGGAUACAAUAUAACUAAGCAAAAUCAAACAGUUUUAGACAACCAAUACAAGAUUUUAGAACUUGACAUCGUGAUAAACAAAUUGUACAUUCAGGAACUCGUUUAAAUAUUAUAGGUUGAUUGACGAAUACUCUACAGUUGAUUAGAGCCCAUGAUGAUGCGAAGAUAAUUAAUAUCACCUAACUUCAAGAAACCAACGUAAAGAAGUUUACAUUCAUAACUCAUCUAACCAUUAUAGAUCAGUAAUGUCGUCAUAAUUUAAAUGAACUCACAGAUAGCAAUGGGGCACUGCACCGAAGCAGUAUUACAAAAUAUGUGAAAUAAAACUGUAAUACAAAUUGCUCUAUAAAAUUUAAUAGAAAUAAA